AUGUGUUUUAUCACUAGAUAUCUACAAGACUUGGAGAUUGCUAGCGAGAAGAAGAAUAGUGAUGCCAAGCCGAGUACUGUUGCACGGCCAAGAACACGGACUUGGAUUGCCCCGGAUGGCAAUAAAGUAAAAAUUAAUGUAGACAGCGGUAUAUCUCGUCGAGGUAAUGUGGGUGCGGCAGCAGCCCUUUGCAGGGAUAAGGAUGGUCAUUAUUUGGGAGCUUCGGCUGUUGUCUAUGAUGGUCUUGUUGAUGCUGCGAGUUUAGAAGUUCAAGCAUGCAAUGAAGCUUUGGCACUAGCAAAAGACCUAAGUCUCUCAUGUAUGACAAUUGCAACCGACUGCAUGGAAGUUGUUUGCAAUAUAGACAAGGGUGCAUCGACUCAUUACGCUCCGGUGUUGCAUGAAAUCACAAAGAGAAGGAAGGAGUUUGAAGAUGUUUCUUUCCGUUUCGAGCAUCGGGAGGCUAACUUUGAAGCCCAUGCACUUGCUAAGGCGGCUUCAACACUCCCAGUAGGUCGUCACUUGUGGCUAGGGGGUCUUCCAGAUAUUAUUUGUAUUCCUCUUGUUUUGAACUUUGAAUAA
rnacentral:rRNA from 1 species